rnacentral:misc_RNA from 1 species
AUAUCCAGUUUUCUGAGGAACGGCCAGA